GCAAACCACUUUCAUCAGCUGUUUGUUUGAUGUUUGCAUUGAAUUUACUGUUGAUGAAAAGUCCCAGUGUAAGGACUAUAUGGACAGCAUCUGUAAAGGCUUUAAUCGCUCUGCUGGACUUAAGUGGUGGACCUUUUUUUGGUUUCUGUUCAGGUUUCAUCGCUCUAAGAGUUCAUUCUGAGGAUGACAGCUUCCAAGAUGUCUCAAAAAGAUAACACCAAACUCUUCUUGGGCUCACUGGGAGAGAAUUCUGACCUCUGAAGAAGUGAUCAAGCCAGAACCUAAGUUAGUAAACCAGAGCCAAAUCUGCUGUUGUGAUAGCAGCUAAAUUCUUCGUGGUGAUUUGCGGCUUCACAGAACGGAAGUUUCUUGCAAAAAUAAGUGAGGAUCACUUAUACUUAAUUCAGGAGUGAGGUCCAGUGAUCUCAGCUGAAUCAUCAAGAAACUUUUACAGCUACUGGAGAAAAUUCCACUCAUCAACUGUGGUGGAUACCGGAGUUUUACCAUUAGGCUGAAUGGAGACAAACUGAAAGUCAACCAAACUAUGAAUCUGUCACACUGGACAUUUCUUGACCACUGAGAACAGUGUGGAAAUGCCCCACAGCCAAGGUAUGGGUAGGUGUUCAGUACUUUUUAAUACAUUGCGUAUACUUGGCAAAGUCCUGUAAGGAAAUACUACUGUGAGCGUGAUCUUGUGAGCGUGAAAAUGCUCAAAAAUGAGAAAAUACGGGCAUUUUGAGAAGAAGGUGGACAGUGGAGCAGGUAUUACAGACCUGCAGAGAAUCUGAAGCACUGAUACGAUGGUGCCUGAGAAAGAGGACAAACAUCUCUGGUGCAAAGAUGCAGACUGGAGCAUUCACUGGUGUAUGAAGAACAGGGAGAUGCAGG
rnacentral:lncRNA from 1 species